rnacentral:rRNA from 1 species
AGUGAACGCUGGCGGUAGGCCUAACACAUGCAAGUCGAACGGCAGCACAGUAAGAGCUUGCUCUUACGGGUGGCGAGUGGCGGACGGGUGAGGAAUACAUCGGAAUCUACUUUUUCGUGGGGGAUAACGUAGGGAAACUUACGCUAAUACCGCAUACGACCUACGGUUGAAAGCAGGGGAUCUUCGUACCUUGCGCGAUUGAAUGAGCCGAUGUCGGAUUAGCUAGUUGGCGGGGUAAAGGCCCACCAAGGCGACGAUCCGUAGCUGGUCUGAGAGGAUGAUCAGCCACACUGGAACUGAGACAAGGUCCAGACUCCUACGGGAGGCAGCAGUGGGGAAUAUUGGACAAUGGGCGCAAGCCUGAUCCAGCCAUACCGCGUGGGUGAAGAAGGCCUUCGGGUUGUAAAGCCCUUUUGUUGGGAAAGAAAAGCAGCAGGUUAAUACCCCGCUGUUCUGACGGUACCCAAAGAAUAAGCACCGGCUAACUUCGUG